AGGGAUAUGUUUAUUAGUGGAACUACAACCAGUGUAUUAUUGUUUUACAAUAGAACCAAAUGGGCAAGCAUUUGGAGUUUCCUGCACAUAUUUAUUUAGGUACCCAGACAACAUGAUCCUCGGGAAGGAAAUGGCAAACAGGAACUUGUCCUGGCUUGAUCUGCAGAACUUUGAAAGCCAAGUGUUUUGGGUUCCAUUUUGUUGUAUCUUCAUGGCAUACUGCCACUGCUUUAACUUUUGUUCCAUCUGCACCCACCAAGGAAAGUGUAUAUGCUCUAGUAGCUUGUGUUUUGUGGCAGUAAAAUACAGCAUAUGCAUAAUUUUGCUGGUGGCACACUACAGCUUUGUCAUUUGUCAUGUUUUUCACUCCUGCAAUGGUAUAUUUCUGCAGUGGAGUAUCUUUCUCUGAAUUUGUUGAUAUCGCCUGAACGUUCUUCCCCAGUUUGGAGGUGGUGAAAUCUACCAUUGCUUCCAAUGAUGUUGCACAGAACUUCUCCUCUCCCUGGAUGCCUGGCUCCUCGCACUCUUUUAUUGUAUUUUUCAUAACUUCAGCUUCCUGUGAGUUGGGCUUCACUGAGAAUUUGUUCAAGAUUUCAGUCAUUUUGUUUGAUGAGAAAGGAAUUGAUUCAGCAACCUGGCGAGGUAAGAAAGUGGCUCCAUGUGAAGUCUUGAAGAAAUGCAAGUUCAUCUUUGAUCCUCGAGUCAUGUUAUUUUCCAAGAAGAAAAGAGCUACAUUUGGGUUGUCAUGGAGCUGAUCCCUGGUUGCUGCGUAGUUAUACAAGAAUGGUGAUGUCCCUGGCCUUCCUCCCACAUAUACUGGUUUCCCCCUGUGGUGGCCUGAGGAUACGGUUACACCUCCACCAUGCCCGACAUUCACAUUGGUGCCUUCAGGAUUUCUGCCCUGUGUCUCGGAACCUCCUGGAUCCCCCGGUCCAACAUUCACGUUGGUGCCUCCUGGUGUAUUAACACCUACUCCACCAGGCCCGACGUUUACAUUGGUGCCUCCUGGUGUAUUUACAUCUACGCCACCGUGCCCAGCAUUCACGUUGGUGCCUCCUGGAUUUCCACCCUGAGUAUUAACAUCUACUCCACCACCACUUACUCCGACUGAAGUACUUUUAUCAUCCACCGUUUCUGCCAUAACAAUCAGUUAGCAUGAACACACGGAUGAAUAUACUAUUCAUACCACCUUAUAAGUAAUUUAAUGUCUUAUUCUUUCUUUCUUUAGAUAGGAUUAGUUUUCCUUGUGUAAGAAUUGUUAAAAAUCUACUUAAUCCUUUUCAUGUACCGGAUUUGCCAAUUUUUUGCUAAAAAAAAGGUAAUUUAAUGUCUUAUGCUCUGUAGUAGUAUUUAUUCUAGAGUUUGCUGACUCGUUCCCUUUUAACCUUUGUAUCACUGUUUAUUGCCUAAGCCUAAUUUGUGGUUUCUCGAGAACAUUACUGGCAUGUAGAAACAUGAAAUGCAUAGAGACAAAAAAGCAUUUUGUUUUUGAAUAACAACAGUGAAAGAACAGCUUUUAGGUUUGAGUCUGACCAGAUUGUAUAAGAUCCUCGAUAGCUUUCGGCAUAGGACUGUUAGGGAGCACAGAUUUCCAAUAUGUCUCAGCAGGUUGUGCUGCGUGGCUUGACACACAAGCUAGCUGAAACACACAGACGAACAAGUGAACAUUUUAUUGGAAAAGGCGUAAAAGAGAAUACAUUUUAUUGGCAAAAGCGUAAAUAAUUGAUACAAUGUUGUACUCACAGCAACAAAGAUGAAGAGAUGUAGGGGUCGAAACUCCAUUUUGUAAGAGACUGGCCGCCAAGGGAAGUGUAAACAGAAGUGAAAUUUUAUGAUAGAUGUGAAAAAUGAAACCACAACUUUCUUGAAGAUAAAAGGCAACAACUAUAGUGCUAUUUAUAGCCGAAUGUGGGUUCAGGGUAAAAUGUCAGCAGAUAAGCAACAGAUCAUCUCUACUGAUGACUUGUGCUCUAAUCACUUCCAACUGUGGCUUAAACGCAUUAAUGCCAAUUGAGCCAAAUGUAUCAGUGAGUUACAUGUGUGAAGUUCUGCGCGUUUGUGUGUGAGAUACAGAUGCCUGUUUCCUAAUUGCAUACGCAAACGAUAAUCCUGUCUGGUCUGAUCUGAUAAUGGUCAAUCCUUACUUGAUCAAUGCUAUCAGACAAAGGGUUUCAGCUGGAAGUUGAGAGCUCAAGUUUUAAGCCUUGCGCUUAUGGCAAUCUGGCGUCAUCUUUAUCGAUUAGUUUUCUGGCCAUCCCAACUCUCUCAUUGGUUUCUUUUUCUAGCCGUCCUCCCUCUUUUUCCGACCCUCUCUUUCUCUCAAACUCUUUCUUAUUUCUUCUCUCCAACCGCCACCCAAAGCUCUCCUCUUUCCUGGUUUUCUAUCAACCCAGCUGUCAUCUAUUCUUUUCGUUUCUUUCUCUUGCCGUCCCCAAAACCUCUCUCUAUCUCUCAAAACCUAGCUAUCAUUCUAGAUUCAUCCCCCCCUCCAGGUGUCCUAGACACCUGGCCUUUUACAGCUCCAAAUUUCAUCUCCAGGACCUCUUCCAAUCUCAUUUGCAAGUUGCGGCAAAAAACGCAGUUUUCUGCAUUGCCGUGACUCUUUUUUUUUUUUUUGAAAAGUAAGAAAUAAUUUUAACUAAAAUAAAUAAAAAUACUAAAAAAAAUGCCCAAAACAUAUUUUUGUGAACAAAUUCUUUUCUUACAAAUUUUAUGCUAAAAUUCUUAUAAAUAAAAAUAAACAACUAAAAAACAAAAACAAAAUAAAACUAAAAAAUGAAAUAAAAGACAAAAAUAAAUUAAGAUGCUAUAAAAAUACUAGAAAAUGCCCAAAACAAAAAUUAUGAAACUAAUAUAUAUGAUUAUCACUAAAAUAAAAUAAAAAUAAAAAAAAUAAAAAUUAAAUAAAAGUAAAAUAAAAUCGUUCAAAAUUUUGGUGUCUACACCCUCCACUCGCAGCAUCAAUGAUAUUCCUGUAUCUGAAGAUUAGUCCCUCGUAAAAAUAUUGUAUGAGCAACUGCUCACUUAUUUGGUACUGAGAGCACUUGAUGCACAACUUCUUGAAUCGCUCCCAGUAGUCGUAGAGUGACUCCUGGAUGCUGUUUGAUACCACAGAUCUCCUUUUUAGACUUAGUUGACAUGCUCAAUUUGAUAAGUGUGUCUUCCACGAGUUUUCUGGCAGCUGACGGAGCACAUCUCAAGUUCGUUUCAGUUAGAUUUUAGUUGAUGAGUUUUGGAUGAAACAAUUGCUAAAAAAGGCCUCCUCUUUGUUCAGUUAACUUUAUUUCCUCUGUAAUCUCAGGACUCAUGAAGCUGUUUCAGAGAACACAAGUCUGCUACUCACACAUGAUCCAUUUUAUCAUCUAUUAAUGGUUGUUGGGCUGAUAAUAGUGCAGUUUAAGGAAGGGAAUUUGCGUUUUUCAUCCUGCAGACGGUCAAGAGUUGGAGAUGCUAUUCUUUUGAAGGAGCGGUUACUGAUGCAUAAUUCUCAUGACUGCAUGAUCCAAUUGAGGAAAAGCAUCUCUACAUUCUAAGGUUAGUCCGGAUUGAUCUAAACUAAAAUAUUUUAAGGUUAGUCCUGAUUGAACUAAAGCAUGCUAAAAUGAUUGAACAGACCAUUUAAUGUUGUAUUAAGAAACAUGUCUUUUUGUCUUGGCCUUGAGUGAAUGGUGUAUAGGCAUGUUCUAUCUGAAUUUUAAUUGUGGGAAGGUUCUCUUUCCCUUGCUGAUUGAAGCCAGCCCAAUGUUAAUUAACUUGAGCUGGACAAGUGCUAUCAAGAGUUUAUUGUUGUUCUUUUUAGUAUGAUAACAAGGCUCCGUUAGAGUUCUAUUCAAAAUUUGUUGUCGUGCUAAAGCAUUGGCUGGAGGGUUCUUAACUUUAUUGCCAAAUUAUUGAAAGCCAUUUGUUAAAGCUUUUAAGGAAUUAAGUGGUUUUUCUGUUGAAGAAUAUUGUUGCAUCUCAUAGAUGACUAAAAUGGAAGAUUCAGAAGAAAAUUCCAAGGAUGCUGUGGUGGCAGUAUGAAUGGAUAUUGCAUGGAAUGUCUUGCACAAAGUAAAGAUCUCGUAUAUGCAUUGUCAGAGCAAUAUCCCAACCACAAUCUCUAGCACAAUUGAACUUAAGAUGUUUAAGAUGAGAUGGAGUGGGUAUGCUGGAUUAGUUUCAUCGGUUGUUUCUUUGAGAUUCACAGGUAACAUUUGUCAAACUGAAGAAUAUUUUAGUUAUUACAUUGACAUGGCCUGAAGAUGAAGGCUCACAGUACAAUACUUCCUGCAUAUCAUGCUUAUUCAUCUAGGAUCAUCUUGGAGGAUCAGGUGGCCACUAUUUAAUUUUUCAUUUGUUGCUGUUUUUUGCACUCUCGUGGUUUCAAAAUGCAUUCUAAAAACACUUCUCACAUCGCAAGGACUUCUUUUAUUUAUUUUCUCUGUUCCAUCACCUCAUUUUUUUUCCUUCUUUCUGUAGUUCUUGAUUCUGUUCGUUAGAAAUCUAUUUUCAGUUGCCCUAGGUUGCUUUUGGGUUGGGCAUUUGUAUUUCAGGGAAAGAUGUGAGGAGUGGUUUUGAAAUCUUUGUUCUUGUUGUCUUGUCUUUAAAGAAAGACGCCUUACAGUGGUUUGUUAUUGGCUGACCCACCAUACCAGCUCCAUAAGUACUCGAAUGAAAUUACUUCAGAGGAGGACAUGAGAGCCGUACCUUACAUAAAGAAACUCACUCACUAUCUGACAUAUAUUCUAAGUAUAGAAUCUAAUACUCAGAUGUCUUUUAGUAUAGCUGGUCAGACUACAUCCUGAGUACAGAUAAUAGUUGUAAUUGAUUUCUUUCUUAGUAGACAUUUGAAUAAGAAAAUUUCUUAAUGAAAGUUAUCCACUCCAAGUUACUAAAGACUUGAAAGUAACUUGUCAAUGGCCAAUUUAUGAUGGAUAUUUGACCACCUUACUGGAACUGCUGAAGUCUUGAUGGUUUAUGAGGGAUGCGAAAUCCACAAUAAGGAGGCCAUUCAGACACUAGCAGUGGAUUUGUAGUUGUCUGAAACAUGCUACUCUGAAUCUUCUAUCUGAGGAAAACCAUCUAUGUUUGUUGAAGUGAUAUUAAACAGUCUUAUACUAAAUCCGUCAAUUAUUUUUGUUUACAGUUACGUGGUAGGCAUUUAACUUCAUCCUCUACUCUGUUGCCAUCUCUAAUCUAUACUGAGAAUUGGAUUUUGUCAAUUAUUUUGCUCAUAACUGAUGCUAAAAGACCUUUAGUGCAAUUUUAUUCCUGUGCAGGGGAAGAUUAUUUGAUUUGUAAUUAUAGUAAAAAAUGAUUUUUUAAUCUGCAUUGUGCUACUGAUAAGCACUUGAAGGAUUUGUUCACUCUGAAAUCCAAUCAAAGGAAGAGAAGUCUAAACUUUUGAGUAACUAAGAGGGAUAUGUUUAUUAGUGGAACUACAACCAGUGUAUUAUUGUUUUACAAUAGAACCAAAUGGGCAAGCAUUUGGAGUUUCCUGCACAUAUUUAUUUAGGUACCCAGACAACAUGAUCCUCGGGAAGGAAAUGGCAAACAGGAACUUGUCCUGGCUUGAUCUGCAGAACUUUGAAAGCCAAGUGUUUUGGGUUCCAUUUUGUUGUAUCUUCAUGGCAUACUGCCACUGCUUUAACUUUUGUUCCAUCUGCACCCACCAAGGAAAGUGUAUAUGCUCUAGUAGCUUGUGUUUUGUGGCAGUAAAAUACAGCAUAUGCAUAAUUUUGCUGGUGGCACACUACAGCUUUGUCAUUUGUCAUGUUUUUCACUCCUGCAAUGGUAUAUUUCUGCAGUGGAGUAUCUUUCUCUGAAUUUGUUGAUAUCGCCUGAACGUUCUUCCCCAGUUUGGAGGUGGUGAAAUCUACCAUUGCUUCCAAUGAUGUUGCACAGAACUUCUCCUCUCCCUGGAUGCCUGGCUCCUCGCACUCUUUUAUUGUAUUUUUCAUAACUUCAGCUUCCUGUGAGUUGGGCUUCACUGAGAAUUUGUUCAAGAUUUCAGUCAUUUUGUUUGAUGAGAAAGGAAUUGAUUCAGCAACCUGGCGAGGUAAGAAAGUGGCUCCAUGUGAAGUCUUGAAGAAAUGCAAGUUCAUCUUUGAUCCUCGAGUCAUGUUAUUUUCCAAGAAGAAAAGAGCUACAUUUGGGUUGUCAUGGAGCUGAUCCCUGGUUGCUGCGUAGUUAUACAAGAAUGGUGAUGUCCCUGGCCUUCCUCCCACAUAUACUGGUUUCCCCCUGUGGUGGCCUGAGGAUACGGUUACACCUCCACCAUGCCCGACAUUCACAUUGGUGCCUUCAGGAUUUCUGCCCUGUGUCUCGGAACCUCCUGGAUCCCCCGGUCCAACAUUCACGUUGGUGCCUCCUGGUGUAUUAACACCUACUCCACCAGGCCCGACGUUUACAUUGGUGCCUCCUGGUGUAUUUACAUCUACGCCACCGUGCCCAGCAUUCACGUUGGUGCCUCCUGGAUUUCCACCCUGAGUAUUAACAUCUACUCCACCACCACUUACUCCGACUGAAGUACUUUUAUCAUCCACCGUUUCUGCCAUAACAAUCAGUUAGCAUGAACACACGGAUGAAUAUACUAUUCAUACCACCUUAUAAGUAAUUUAAUGUCUUAUUCUUUCUUUCUUUAGAUAGGAUUAGUUUUCCUUGUGUAAGAAUUGUUAAAAAUCUACUUAAUCCUUUUCAUGUACCGGAUUUGCCAAUUUUUUGCUAAAAAAAAGGUAAUUUAAUGUCUUAUGCUCUGUAGUAGUAUUUAUUCUAGAGUUUGCUGACUCGUUCCCUUUUAACCUUUGUAUCACUGUUUAUUGCCUAAGCCUAAUUUGUGGUUUCUCGAGAACAUUACUGGCAUGUAGAAACAUGAAAUGCAUAGAGACAAAAAAGCAUUUUGUUUUUGAAUAACAACAGUGAAAGAACAGCUUUUAGGUUUGAGUCUGACCAGAUUGUAUAAGAUCCUCGAUAGCUUUCGGCAUAGGACUGUUAGGGAGCACAGAUUUCCAAUAUGUCUCAGCAGGUUGUGCUGCGUGGCUUGACACACAAGCUAGCUGAAACACACAGACGAACAAGUGAACAUUUUAUUGGAAAAGGCGUAAAAGAGAAUACAUUUUAUUGGCAAAAGCGUAAAUAAUUGAUACAAUGUUGUACUCACAGCAACAAAGAUGAAGAGAUGUAGGGGUCGAAACUCCAUUUUGUAAGAGACUGGCCGCCAAGGGAAGUGUAAACAGAAGUGAAAUUUUAUGAUAGAUGUGAAAAAUGAAACCACAACUUUCUUGAAGAUAAAAGGCAACAACUAUAGUGCUAUUUAUAGCCGAAUGUGGGUUCAGGGUAAAAUGUCAGCAGAUAAGCAACAGAUCAUCUCUACUGAUGACUUGUGCUCUAAUCACUUCCAACUGUGGCUUAAACGCAUUAAUGCCAAUUGAGCCAAAUGUAUCAGUGAGUUACAUGUGUGAAGUUCUGCGCGUUUGUGUGUGAGAUACAGAUGCCUGUUUCCUAAUUGCAUACGCAAACGAUAAUCCUGUCUGGUCUGAUCUGAUAAUGGUCAAUCCUUACUUGAUCAAUGCUAUCAGACAAAGGGUUUCAGCUGGAAGUUGAGAGCUCAAGUUUUAAGCCUUGCGCUUAUGGCAAUCUGGCGUCAUCUUUAUCGAUUAGUUAGUAGUUUUUUUUUCAAGUUUUUGACGUAUGGCUUCAAUCCUGCUCUUAAUGUGGCUGACAAACUUGAAGUAUAUCCAAAGUGAUUUGCUAGUUUUACUAAGCUUAGCUACAGGAUUUGGAUGAUCAUCUUUCAGUCACAGAAGAAUGUCAAAAAAAUCACAUAAACGUAUUAUGCAUACCUAUUAACUACUAUUUUUAUACACAGAAAGCCAUUAACUAUUUUCAUACUUUUCUUGCUUGCAAGUUUGAAAGGAAACUGUUUGGCGUUGUGAAAUUAUGGUGCAUAUCCAAUCCCGGUUUUCUUGUUAUGGUAUAACUUUUUUAUUUUAGCAUAAAUUCAAGAUAGAUCCAAUUAUAUAACCGUAUUUGUCAUGAACAUUUACGUUUUCGCUUUUUAUUACUCAUCGUUUUAGUAGAUAAUAAGUAAGGAAUGAAUCCGGUAUUAUUUUUUCUAACACCAAAUAGAAAAUUGUUCUUUUAAAACCGAACAUUUUACUUUCCCCAACUUCGGACAACACAUUUUGUGAGCUGUUUAAUCAAAAAAAUUGUUUCUCUCGAGUAGACAAAAAAAAAAAAAAAGAAAGAAAAAACACAAAGUCCUUUAAUGCAGUAUAUGUUCUGAUUUUUUUGACACAUUUUGCCGACUUUCAUUAUUGUAAUAACAUGCUGCAAUAAAUGUGUCACUCAAAUUCAAACAGUUUGUUGGUAGCUGGGGUGGUUGUUAUCUCUUAUACCUUCAAACCUCCUGCCUGUAUUCAAUACUGCCUAGUACUUUCUUAAGCACUGCAAUUUGUUCUUUUACUAUUACUAUUAAAAUUUCAGUAAUGCAGAAACUCUAGAAUGUAUUUGUUACACUUAUCCGUACAUGUAAUGAACACAUUCUACACCCCUUAGAUUUUUUGAAGGUAAAAUCUUGUUUAUAAUUCAAUUUUUUGUAAUAAUAAAAUGACAUCUUAGAAAAAAAAAAUAAUAGAACGACAUUUUUUUUAUCUUUGUCCUUUGAUUUUGAAAUAUUCUGUGGAUAGUGGAGAUUUUUUGUCUUAUUUAACUAAUUUUUAUCUUUCGAUUAGCUUUGACCAUUAGUGUAAGUGGCAAAUUAAGUUGUUUUGGGACCAAAUGUUAAAAGGGAUUUACGCUCAUUUACCAUUGACUAAAUACUUCCUCAAACUAAACUUUUCAUCUUCUUGCAUUAGAAGGCAAUGAAAUUUGAGUGGAAAAAUUCCUUCCCCUUGUAUUUUCUUAACCGAGAUCAAGUUGAGAUAGGCAAAUUAACCAUAGAUUGUUAAGAAAAUUUUUUUUUUAUUCUGUACGUAGUCCAUAUAUUAAAAACUAGAAGAAACUUCUGCAAAAGGACUCCACGUAACUAAAAUUACUAAAGAGACUAAUAUGCGAUAAUAUGAUAGGUGUCUGGUUCACAUCUGGUGUCUACUCUGGAAACCAUAUUUCAUACAGAUAAUUUUAAGGACAAAGCUGCAGAAGUACACAAGUAUUUCAGGUUUUAGCACUCAUCUUAUCUAUAUGAUCAGAACUUCGAACCCCAAGCUGAAGCUACCAUGGAACGGAACAUAAAUUAAAGACAACUCGAAAUGGAUAAGACUAAAGUAAAGGAGGGAUCUCAAGGAUUUUCUUCACAAAUUCAGUUCUUGGGAACCCAAACAACAUGGUCCUCAGGAAGGAAAUGGCAUAUUGGAACGGUUCCUGGCUUCACCUUUAGCACCUGGAAAGCCAAAUGCUUUGGGUUCCAUUUUGCUGUAUCUUCGUGGCAAACAGCCACAGCUUUAGCUUUCUUUCCAUCCGCUCCAACCAAAGUAACCUCAUAUGCUUCGGUGGCCUGCGUGGAAUGGCAGUAAAAAACUGCGUAGGCAUAGUUUUGCUUGUGGCAAACCACAGCCUUAUUAUUGUUUAACUUCUUGACACCCACAAUACCAUAUUUCUGGGCUUUGGUGUCCUCUUCUGCUUCUGUGGAAACCGCCUGAACAUUAUUUCCUAACUUGGACGUGCUGAAAUCGACCAUGGACUCGAGGGAAGUUGCACAGUAUUUGUCCUCCCCUUUGAUUCCGGGCUCCUCGCACUCCUUUAUCGUAUUCUUAAUAGUCUCAGCUUCGACAGAUUCCGGCUUCACUGAGAAUUUGUCGAAAAUUUCGGGUAUGUAUUUGGAUGAGAAAGGUACGGAAUCAGCAACCUUGCGAGGCAAGAAAGUUGCGGGAUUUGAUGAUUUGACGAACUGCAAAUUCAUGCUUGUCCCGCGGUGCAGAUCCUUUUUCAAGAAGAAAAGGGCUACAUUUGGAUUAUCAUGGAGUUGAUCCUCGGUGGCUGCAUACACGUAGAUGAAUGGGUUGCGACCUGGUGUUACUCCAACAUAUACUGGAUGACCCUUGUGGCCGGUGUGGACGGUAACGCCUCCCUUUCCGACGCCGACGUUGGUUUGGGGCUUUCCGGCGGUUACUCCGACGCCUCUGUGACCAACACCAACAUUGGUGCCGCUGCCAGCGGGCUUUCCUUUCCCAGUAUUGACGUUUACUCCUCCCUUUCCUACUGCAACUGAAGCGCUCUUGUCUUCCAACCAUUCUGGGAAAAUAUCACUUAAUCUUCAUACAUAGCAAGGUCAUUGAAACUAAAACCUCAUUUUAUAAUUCCAUAUACCAAUUCUUUUGCAUAGAAAGGCAUAAUAUUCUCAGUUAUAAUAGAUGGAUUGAGGCUAGUGAGGAUUAAUCAAAAAGUUUUAGAAUAGAGGGUACAAAGGAGAAGAUAUAGCUAAUUAGUAAUCGGAAGGUUGUAAUCGGAAGUAUCUUUUAGUGAUCUUUUAAGUCACAGUACAAAGUAGAAUGGUGCAAUUGAUACACUUACUAUAUUUGCGAAAGAAGAUUGAUUUCACUUUCUAGCUUUAAAUUCUCUACUAGAAAAUUUUUUGUUGGAAUUCAGUUUCCAUCUUUCACUCACAAUUUUUCCACAUAGUAAACUGGUGACAAAACAUCAUUUUGUUGACAAGAGCAAUUGCAACUCUGAGCAGCAUGUGUACUUAUUCAAAUAUUAAAAAAAAAAAAAAGAAGGAAGAGGAAUAGUAACAGAAGAAAUUCCUUGUAUCUAACAUUAUUUAAAACUAGAAAAUGCACAGCUAACCACUCAAGCACUUAAUAUAGGGGUCACCAUCAACUAUUUCUGGUUAAUGUUUUAUUUUAUUUUUUAUGUAUAAGUCACCAUCUACUAUUUAAUUCAGAGAGGACACCAUCAGCUAUUAUUUGAAGUGGUUGCUGGCUACUAAAUUACACAAUUGAUGAGCAGUACCUGGAGAAUUUCUGUAUAUGAAAAUUCACUUUCAGAGGUAAAACCACUCUAUUGCACUUAUGUUGGUGAUUAAUCUUGGAAAGAAAUUAGAAAGAAAGAAACUAAAAUGGCAGAGAGAGAGAGAGAGAGAGAGAGAGAGAAUCCGUUUUCAUCUUUGUCAAAGAUGACAAAUUCAUUUCUAGUUUUGUGAAAAGCAUUUGUAGUGAAGCUCCAAAAGUUCUAAAAUUGUAUAUCUAAGCGUUUAAGCUUUUGAACUUAGUGAGUGCCAUUUAAAUUAUUGCCAUGCUUCGACUAUAAAUAUACUAUUCAAAUUGUAUCAAGUCAAAAUGAUGUUUUUGGAGUAUAAAAAUCGUUGGCAUACUACCACCCACUAAUCAUAAUGCAUAUAUAUCCUUCAUACAAGCACAAGAAACGAAAAUUGACCCAAGGAAGACGAACCACUGUGUAGAAUGUCCCUUACUGCCUUUGGCAUAGGAGUGUUUGGCAGCUUGGAUUUCCAAUAAAUAUCAAGAUCUGCAUGGCUUGCUACAACUGCCAGCUGACAUAAAUUAUAGUACAAAGAAAAAUGAUCAGAAAAGUAACAGGGAUUCCCAGAGAAGUUAAUUAGCAAACAUUCAAUAUUGUUCAUGGAAAAAGAGAAGUUUCUACUCACGGAAAGAAAUGUACAAAUGUGGAGGAGCUUGAGCAAUUCCAUGACAGUUUGGACAAAAACAAAACACAGGGCAGAGUGGUUGGAACUGAGACGGACUUUUAAGUGGUACUGAAGGGCAAGAUGUACAACACAGAGUAAAUUGGCAUCAUUAUUUAUAAGCGAACAUUAUGAAAAAUUAGGUGCUUGAGAAAAGCAACGUAUCACCUAAAUUGAUGACUAGUUUAAUUGCUUCAACUGUCUUAGGCUUUUGGCCAUUCAAUGCUAUGAAGCCACAUGUGAAUGUGGGGUACAAAUUAAACACGGAUGGACGAUAUUCGUACAAAUUUGCCAGAAAGUUGUCAGUCAUAUAAUCUAGUUCCGUUCUCAAGGGUUAGAGCCUUAAAGGGGGACAAGAAAUGACUAUAUGGCAUGUCUAGCGUCUUCCCCCUGCUCAUCACUGAACCAAGGGAUGAUAGAAUGGGACGGCCCUUAUUGUGUUGGACUUUUGAAUCGUCCAGCUAAUAACAAUCAACCACCAAAUUUAAUAAGGCUAAUACUUAACCCUACUAAUUUGAACUCUGCAUGCAUGCUGCGCCACGUAAAUUUUUGUACCAUACGUAUCUUCUGAUUGGAAAUUGGUAUGUUAGGGACUUUGGCUAGAAGCCCGGAAGCCUGGUCCAUGCAUAUAUCGAUUAGUCCAUUUCAUGGGACUCAUUUUGAUAUCUAUGGCACAAUAGACGUCUCAAAGUUUUCAGACGCAUUGGCUACCUGGUUUUUAUUGUCAGUUUUUGGAAAUGUUCUCUUAUUAUGAAUUUGAAAUACAUCUUUAUUUUUCCAACAAUCUUUUUACAUCAAAUACUUCUCAUCACAAACGUAGUACAGAUAAUAUUGCUUUUUAGGAACACUACUAAGAAAUACAACCCAAGUGCAAAGGAUGCAGGACUUUUCUUGUUCUGGAAAACUCCUACUACUUGGCAUAAUUUCAGUUUACUACCUAGAACCUGUUGUUGCAUCUUUGUCUUUCAUUUGGACAUACUAUCUUUUAAUAUUUCCAAAUAUCAUCCUUUUUGCUCAAUUCUCAAGAACAAUAUUUGCACACGAUGCUCUCGACUGAUAGAUACUUCCAUCAUCAUUGAUUGAAGAUCGCAUGGUGGAGUUAUGCUAAUUCAGUUGGCAUUGAAUCAGCAAAGAUAUAUAUACAUUUUUUAGGGGUACAAAUUAAGAGAUAACCAUACAAUUACGACAAACUGUCCCACAAACUUGGGGGAGGUUCCCAAUCACCACUGACCCUAUUGGUCAAGUGGUAAGACCACGAGCCAUAUUGGCCAGUUGCUGAGAACUCAGAAGUUGGAACCAAGCCGUACCAAAAAAAAAAAAAAAGAAGAAAAGAAGUUGGAACCAAUGGGGCAUGGGGAAGUGCAUUCGAGCCUUUAAAGCCACUUCCUGGCCAACUCGCCACCAAUAUUCAAUAAACAUGUGAAAACUCAUUUUCGCAGUUACUUUAAGGAUGGCAAACUAAUAAUAAUCUGACUUAGUUUGUUGAUAAAUACUAAGUAGUAGUAUAAAGACAAAAACAAUUAGUGUAAAGACAGUAGGUCCAAAACAUACGUAAAUUCGAUUAGACCAAGUUUAACCGUCCAGAUUAAAUUAUGUUUUCCACCAAUAUGAUUUAGCAUGUAUUUUACCAUCAUCAUGUAUCUAUAGUCAUGAAAUUACUUCAACACAUUUGGUGGUGCUAAUGUAUAUUUAGGAAAUGACUGUUAAUGAAAUUCGUAAUUCGGGACUAGCCAUUUGUUGGAAUAACACAUCGUGGUGACAUAUAUGACAACUUACUCAUUGCAGUAUUAAUUAAAUCCAGUACUCUUUCAUGAGUUUUCAAGUACCCUACCACUUAUUUCUUGGUAAUGAGAAACAUCGAAAAAUGUCUUUUGAGUAGGACUUGCAGCUAUCCAUCGUAUUCAAGAAGUUAAUUCUAGUAGGCUGCUAAGUGGAAAGAACAAGUGCUCUGUAUAAAGUAUAAACAGCAUAUCAGUAUGUGAGGAAUAAUUUAACCAAUCAUAUUUUUUGGGCUCCCUGACUAGUGAGUUGGAGCAACAAACAAAAUAAGUUGUACUUCCUCCUUCUCACUUUGAUGGUCUUGAUUUUUAUUUUUCACACAGUUUAAGAAAAAUUAGUUAAAUUUGUUGGAAAAGUAAAUCUAACCUUCUGUUUUUCUAAAAUAUCCUUAUGUUAAUAAUAUUAGGAAUAUGACUAAUCAUUAAAUCUUUACAUUAAUUACAACAACAAUACUGAUUAAAAGUUUACCAUUCAAGACAUGAAAUCAAAACAAUUAUUGAAUAUAGUGGACUACACUCACUGAUGACAAAGUACAUUAGACAAGGAUAUUUUUAAAAAAGUUAACAAUUAACUAUUCUCUUUAAUCAAAAAAUGAAUUAUAAUUUGAGACAGAUGAAAAAGGAGAAUAAGACUGUCAAAGUGGGACAAAAGGAGUAAUAACUAAGAGUUAAUUUUGAAUGAUCAAUCAUCUUUCAAUAAUUAAUGUGCAGCUGCCGAUUGGGCCAAAGUAGUCAAUUCAUAAUUCCGGAUUUUUAAGAAUCACAAGUCUAUUUUAUCACCAAAAAAAGAGACAAAUAGCAGUACAAGCCUCAAGGGAGUCUUAUAGUGUGUUUGAUAAAACUGAAAUAUAAAAACUAAAGUUUGAAAUCUGAAAUCUGAAUACAUUAAAUUAUUCAAUUGUUAAGUAUUAAGAUUGCGUUUGAUAAAACUGAAUCUGAAUUUUGAAGUCUGAAUUCUGAAAUUUGAAUACUGAAACAAUUAAUUUGCUGAAUUUUAAACACUGAAAAGAAAUAUAUGAAUGUCUGAAUUUUAAUACUAAACCUAUUUAUACUGUUUGAUAAAUUUUUAUAACUGAAUGUUUAAUAAGUUUAAUUUGACAAUUUUGCCCUUAUAUCUUUUCAUUCAAAAAAGAAUAGAACUUAUGAUUUAAUUAACUUAAAAUUGUUCGGUAUGAAAAUGACAAUAUUUAUUUUUAAAUCAAAUUAAUAUAAAAGAUGAAAUAUAUUAUAUGAGGAGUACGGAGAAGAUGUGAAAGUCAUUAAAAAAGGGAGAAAAGAGAAACUGAAAACCGUUAGAUAGAGAAAUUAGAUAAGAAUUUUAAACAUAAUUAACAAACAAGGGUAGAUUUGGUAGAUAAGAUAAGAUAGUUGAAAUAAUUCUAUUGAUUCUUAUCAGAAUUAAGCAUUCAGUUAGGAUUCUUGUGUUGAAAAAAAUACACACAAGUUUAGCAGAUAGAUUUUCAGUUAUCAAACACUCAAAACAUCUGAAUGUCUGAAAAGGUUUAGUUUUAGCACUUUUUUAUGUUAUCAAACUGAUCUUAAAUCUAAUAUAUUUAAGUGCAUAUCAUAUUCAGUGAUAAAGUGAAUAAUUUAUUACUUAAUUUUGGAAGCAAAUUUUACCUAGAAAAUUCAGAGCCACUUAAUUAAUUCAGAUGUUCAAAUUUUUGUUGUCAACCGAUCUGAAUAUGUUAAGAUCUGAAUUCAUUAAGUUUAAGUGCUGAAUUGAGUUAUCAAACAGAUUAAUAUUCGGAUAAUGUCGUGUAAUUUAGGUACAACUAACAUGUUAUUUCGAACAAUACUAAGUUUUGUCAUUUCACUAUCACAAAAUUGUACAAGUAAUCUGUGUGGAUAAUUGUUACUAAAAUUUUAUGCUGAUAAUCAGUCCUACCCAAGCUCAGAUUUCAACACAGGAAAGAUGUUUGGACCUACUCUUUGUCGGACUAGGGCCAAUACGGUUGUGAUUUACACAAUUUGGUUCAGUUGUUAUAUAUAUUUAGAUUUGUAAUGUAUAAGCUAAAUAUUUUAUUUAUGUACAUCACUUUUUUCACAAAUAUAACAAUGUAACGUAGUUGUACAUCAAAUAAUGUUAAAACUACAACAACCGGACCAAAUUGUAUGUAAUCCCAACCGGCUCCUUUUUCACUCUCGUCACACUUGUAAACUAUUGAAUAAGAUUUUGCUGCAUGCCUCUUUGGUUUCCACAGCCUUUUUUUUUUAUAAAUUUAUUAUUUAUUUAUUUUUCUGUGCACGAGUUUCUACAACCCUUUUGAAGUUUGGAUUGACAUUUGAGACAAGCAUACUAGGAUAUCUGGUAACAUCACUUAAAGUUAGGAAUUUUAAUGCACAGGAAAUUGGGUUAGCGUAUACGGAAUACGAUGCGGAGUUCUCGAGCACGAGAUCAAUGUUAUAACUCACCCGCUUGGGUGAAUAAACCUAUGCUACAGAGCUAUGGAUUCAUUUUAUUUUUUUUGGUUGCCUGCCACGGUAUCCAGGGCUUUGCCCUGACUAAUCCGUUGGUCGACCCGGGUCGCACACCUGGCUGUGGUGGGUGAGUCUCCCAACAAGGGUAGCUGCAUACGCCAGGUUUCGAACCCGAGACCUUGCUUAAGCGGAACCAAGCUGCUUACCACUUGGCCCAACCCCAGUUGGUGGAUUCAUUUUAUUAAUUCUAGCAUUGUACACAAUGCACCAAAGCUUUCUUUCUAGUCCUAUUUUGAUCCUUUAUUUAAUCGAUCGUGUUGAGAAAAUUAAUAAGUUUAUACAAGUGAAGGCCAAUAUACAGUUUCUCAGCAAGUCAAGAUUUUUUUUCCCCCAAACUCUAAUUUUUAGACAUAUUGUAGCACUAGUUUGGUUUUAUUUAUAGACUUUAUAGAAAUGUGAAAGGUAACCCAGAAGACAUGUAUCGCCUUGGUCAAUUUUAUUAGUUUAAUUUUGUAAAAUAUUAUAUUAUUUCUACAAUGACGAACAUUUUGCUUAACCAACAAAAGGAUAAGGCAUGUCCAAUAGAGGAACAGAGCACGAUAUUGAUUUAGGUGUUAUUAACAGUGAAUGGCAAUUAUUCACAAGUGAUUUACUAACCGAUAAAUAAACCUGGUUAACUUUUUAUUCAUAGUAGUAAUGUUUUGAACUGUUUAAUGAAUUAUAGAUAACAUGAUUUAAAAGUUGAUUAUAAGAAAACAGACUACAAUGUUCAUGCUCGAGUACUAAUGAUGUCAUAAUAGUUGUUGGUUAAUACACUUUCUUUUAUAUCUUAUUGUAUGUCCAACUCAUUUUGUUACCAUCGACUUAUAUACUUAUAAAUGAUGUAUAUAUAUAGAAACACAGAUAGAAAAUGAUUUAAAAAAUAAAUUUUUAAAAUUUGACAGUGACGAGGUGUACCACAUAUUAGAUAAAAAUUUAAACAUGUCUACUGCACGCAACAAAGUUUGUAGCAAUAGACAAAAAACAAAGUUAAAAAGUUUAAUGUGUCCAAAGAUUAGAAUUUAGGUUUGCAAUAUGCAAAAGGGUAAUAAUUAGGGGUACAAAGUGAGAUUUAACUUGCUCACUAAUAGAUGUAUGUGACAGGUUGUUGAAUCCUGUGCAAUAAUAAAACUUGCUCAAACUAAAAGUAAUUUCUGUAGAUAGCGGUGAGCAGGGUCGAAUCCACAGGGACCGGAAGUAAUUGUUUCUUUUCAAGUUCACAGUGACAAGGGGUAUUUUUAUAUCAGGGGUGACAAUUUAAGCAAUUCAACUAAAAGUAAAAUAAUAAGAAUAAAAUAGCCAACUAGAAAUUAAAUAACAAUUUACUAAAAUCAAAAGAUCUAGCCAAAGAAUAACUUCAGCAAUGGUUCACCUAAUUGAUCAUCGAAACAAAGGCAAUUCCAAUUAUUUACUAAUAAAUAGGUUAUAACUGCCAAACAAGCGAUGCCAGUCAACCCCUCCUUACUGUGUCGGUGAUUAAGGUACGCCCGUUAAUCACUGUUCUAAUUGAGAAAUAAUCUUAGGUACGCCCAUAAGAUUUAAUUCCCCAAUUGCCUUACAUAUUAGAGGAGCCCUAUUCUAACCAAAUAACACACUACCAGGGUUAUUUUAGGUUAGCCCGGGUAUUCCCCUGACACAAACCCAAUCAUGCCAGUUGUCACUAUUUUGAGACAAUUAAACAAUUACGGAUUCAACGUCCCAAUUGACAAUAGAUUAUCAAAUUAACUAAUUAUCCGGAUCCAAGACAAUCAAUUAAUUAAACAAUCAUAAGUACUGCAACCAAGGAAUAUGCGAAUAUCAAUAAAUAGAGAAAAAGAUAAAAUUAAAUCGAUCUCAUAAUUUUAGAUGACCCAAAACCUCCGUUGCUCCUUGACUAGAGUGGAGAAAUUAAUUCAUGUUUAAUGAGAACAAAACGUACGAAACUGAAGCAAAAGCUGCGGCCAUCUUUUGUGUUUGGGAGAAAAGCCACGGGAAAAUCAUUCAAUUGCACCUAAUUGCUCCUGACAUCCCAGGAGACAAAAACUACUAAGAAGCCUCCAAGGAAAACAUUAAAAACUAAGCUUCAGUAGUGCCCAAAAGAAAAGUCAAAGCUGAAACUACUAAGCAGUCCUGCCAUGCGUGAGAAAGAAAAAACCAAAGGAACACUAAGCUAAUGGAGAUAAUGAUCCCCCGCUGCUCAAUCCAAUUCCUAUCUAAUGGUCUUCCCUUGUGCGACGGCUCUCUCCCGAGAGGGAGAAGAAGACUAGCCCUGUGUUUCUUUUUCUUCUUUUUUUAUACUGUCUUCCGCCCUCAUCAGCAAUUACCAAGAUGGGAACAAAUUUUCCUUUGCCAACUAUGCCCCUCGAAUAAGCUCUAUGACUUGGACUCUUUUUUCUGUCAAAUUGACAUUUGUUAUCAUAUUUCAUUCUACUCCCUGAAAUAAAUGUAAAACACUAAAAGUGAGUAGAAUUUAACAAUUAAUUCACCUUGGGUCAGGUAAUAGGGGAAAUUAACAAUAAAAUAAAUGAUAAAAUUGCAAUCUAUCAGUAUGGGUGGGUGUGUAUGCACAAAAACUAUGUUAAUCUUCUUAACACUAUUAAUACUUAGACAUAAAUGGGAUAGAUAUGAAACUUUGGGGCUCAAUGUGUCCAAAAUUGAUUUUUUUUGGUUCAAAAAAAAAAAGUUUGGAUACAUUCAACUUCAGUCACUACCAUGAGUCAAGGCAUGCCACAAGAUUAUAGGUCACUUAUAAGUAUUCUUGCACAUAACUAACCAACAUAACCCUCAUAUUGGUAGUUGAAUUCAAAUACACGAUCUUAUUUGAGAAAAUAGUUCAUUCAUACCAAUUAAGCCAACUUAGCUUUGGCCAAAAUUGAAAUUGAUAGUACGUGCAAAAAAGAGUUAUAACAUAUUGCCAACAUUGCUAUGAACUAGUCGUGUGUUUUCACAUAAUUGGUCAGAUGUAACAUCUAUUCUAUAUAUAAAGUGGGAGGAAGGUAGCGCUGUUGGCGAGUCGAGCAACUCACAAGUAACUCGUGAGUAGCUCGGUCAAAUGCUCGAUUUGAAUUUCAUUUGAUUGAAUUCGAGCUCGAACUCGAGUAGUUCAAUGCAUAUAUAUCAAGUUGAGUUUGAGCCUCUAUUUGUGCUACUCGAGUGCUCAUUAAGUAACUUGAUUAUUGAUAUAUUAUUUAUAUUAUAUUUUUUAUUUUAAGUAUGAAAUGACUAAUAAGGGUUUAUGUUUUAGAUAAUUUGCCAUAAGUGUCGUCCACUCAAGAAAAUUCAUAAAUGAAAAAAAUGUAACAUUGUAAAGACUAGAAAAGAAACAAGGAUUUUAGAUAGUUUACCAUAAAUUUUUUAUCCUUUUUUUGAGUUUUAUUUCGAGCCCUUGAGGUUAAGGCUCGAGACUAAACGAGUCGAGCUCGAUUUUAGAAAUGCAUAUUGUUGAGUCGAGUUGAGUUACUCAAUUUUCUGCUCGCUUGAGCCAAGCUCGAGCUCGAGUAGGCUUAUAUAGUAUCGAGUUCGAACUCGAGUAUAGUACUAUUUGAAUUCAAUUCGAUUCGACUCGUUAACACCACUAGAGGAAAGGGGUUGGUAUAAAUUCUUUUGUCACUUUUUAAAUUUUCAGUUUUAUCCUCACAAAAAAUAAUUUUUUCUAAUUAUCUAAUUAUAUAUAACCAACAUGAUUUUCACCAUAACUACCUAAAAGCAUAUUACCAACAUGACUACCAACAGACAUAACCACCAAGAUAGUUAAUAAUUUAGUAGAGAAAAUUUUAUAAAAAUUAAUUUAUUCUUAAACUGCACGCAUGUGUGUGUCCUUGGCACUAGUGUAUGCCAAACUCUUAAUAAAGGGUGAUUACUACUUUGAUAGGGCCAGGACCAAUGCGCUAUAACAAUUUCAUAGACGGUUCUCUCGCAAAAUUAAAGGUGACGGUUAGAUUAUCAAACUGCAGCUUGCGUAUCUUCAUUCAUACAGUUGUUACAAUGGAUACGAAGAGAAAUUUUGGGUUAGUUUUUCAAUUUUAUUCUUUUCUUUUGAUGUGAACUCUCGAAGCUCUCAAAGUAUUGUUACCGAGCCAAAUUGAAUUUUAUGACCAUACUGACCCGCAAUAAUAAACAAUCUGUUGCCCGAUAAAGCCACCUCAUGUUUAUUUGCAAAAUGAAGUUUAAGAUAACAAAAAAAUAGUGAGAUAUCAGAAGAUGGUCCUACUUUGGAGGGCAUUCCACUAAUUAAUGACACAUACUACCCAUCUUCACACCUACUUUGGAGGUUACUCAAACUGAUAGAAACUUCGGGUAUUUCUCCUGAUGUGCAAUCUGAAUUCUUUCUGUUUUUUUGGGUGUAAUCUGAAUUCUUGUUCGGUCAUAAAAAAGAUUUUGCAUUUGUUAGCUACUAUGAAAUGUGGUAGCUGUUUUUCCCUUAGACCGAGAGAGUCAUGUAUAAAAGGAGAACACUUGUUAAAAAUGAAACACAGACAUUUAUAGUUGAUUUGACAUGAAGGGAAAUAUUCAAAAAAUGGAGAAAUAAUAGAAAAGAAAUAUUAAUUUCAUAGGUUCUUUAAAAGAUGUAAAACAAAACUAUCACUUCAGCGUUAGUAUUGAAUAUUUUCCCUACAGUACAAAACAGAUAUAUAUAAAGCAACCAUUAAUGAGGUGGUUUGCCGGUUUACAUGCAAAUCAUAUUAUGUGUUACCUCUUAAUCUGCUGAGAAUUGACAAUGACUUCAUCAAAUUUGGGCCACUUUCUUUUUAAACAAUAACAGUCCAGAUUAAUUAUGUGUUGGGGUGAUGUUGCUUAUAACAAAUUGACAAUUUGAACACCAUAGCUUGCUACAACAUGGUAUUUUAAAACCAGAGCUGAGGAAGACCAAAAGGGCCCCUGUUUCUUUGUUCGGAUGGUAGGUUAAUUAUUUUUCUGAGUAUCUUUCCAAAGUUAUUAUUGCAGUGGUUUUCUCUGGAUAAAUUUACAUUGUUUGUUGGAAAAAAAUUGUUGAAACCUGUUUUGAAGUUUUUGAUAACAACUCCAUGCAGAUGGUCUGUUUCGUUUUAGUUAGGUCUCCAUGUUUAUAAAUAAUGUCAAUUUAAUACAUGAAUUAAGUAUAAAGGUUUUAUGCAUUGAAUUAUUAGUUAACAAGAUAGGAAGUAGAUUGACAACGUCUGAAAAUCUAUAGACUGGUUUUCUAGUUAUAUUUCACUUGUGUAUUUAUUUUCUUGUAGAACCAAAAAAACAAAAAAAAUUCUUGGAUAUUCUUGCAGAAUCUUACACAAAAUUAAGAAGAAAAUUCUUCUUGUCUUCUCACGACAUACAAGAUAGAUGAACUUCAUCCCAAUCCAAAAACUAGUAAAUCUCUGUUGAAAAACUUAAGACAAGUUUGAGUCUUUUGACCUAUUUUCUCCCAAACUAAAACAAAGAAAGGGCUUGCACCUAAUUAUGGUAAAAUCACCAUCAUUAAUUCCAGGAAAUAUAUCAGGGUUUUACUCUAAUUGUGGGAGUGUAAGUUUUACUCAAUCAAGAAAACUAUUAUCUUAUGGAUAGGGGAUGGCAGUACUGAAGAUUGAACCCUCCAUUUCUUUAUAUUACUGCAACAAUUUUCAUUACUCUGUUACAAUUACACAGAGAAAUCCGCAGUUGAGAUAACUAUUCAUUGCCAAUUAUAAUAUUUUGUCAUGUUCCCUAAAGAAGGGUGAACCUCCCUGCCGAGAUAAAAGCCAUCUUCCCUGGCCAUCCAGUAGCAUACGUUACCGUAGAACUUACGUCCACAGGCAACAGCUAUGAAUCUAUUGAAAACAUCAAAAACCGGUUUUCUCUCCCCACCAGAAGAAACAAUAGUAUUUUAUGGUUCCUUGAAGAUCCAUCCGAAGAUGCCAACUAUAUUCUUCUCCUACACGAAGAAAACGUUCGCCAAGAUCAGCACCUUUGCUCGAUUGGCAAUGAGUCUUCAAGGGGGUAUCGUUGUUGGGAAGGCCACUGGCCACAUAUAUAUCAUAUGAUUCAUAAGCAGCAAAUACAUGUAUUUUUUCAACAAGGAAAAGUGAUAUGAUGAGGAUUGAGUGAAGUCUUUUGAUGGUAGUAUAGUCCAUCUUGCCUUUUCUUGUUUCAAAUUAUGGUAUCUUCUGGCUUUUUUUUUUUUUUUUUUUUUUAUAGGAGUUAGUGAUCUGCAUAUAAUGGGAGAAAAAUAACAAAAAAAAAAAAACAUUAAUUGAAAGCAUGACUUGCACUUUUGAAACGUUUUCAGUAAGGUACACUAUUUAAUACAGACUUCAUUCCAAUAAGCCUACAUGAAUUGGGUGCUGUUAAUGCCAUAAUCCUUUUUUUUUGGUUCCAUAGUCAUAUUGCAUAAAAUACCAAAAUUACCCUUCUCAGGUCCAAAUGCAAUUUAGACUUAGGAGGGGCAAUUUUGUCAUUUUAACAUAAAAUUGCUGUGGAAAUAAACUAUGGACUGUGGCAUUAUCAUUUGCCACAUGAAUUUUUUUUUUUUUUUUUUUGUCUAGAUCUGAUAUUGUUAUUGCAGAAAUAUCUAAGGUAAACACAGAUGAAGUAUUCAUAAAGUUUCACAGUUCAACUCCAACAAGAUAUUAAUGUCAACUUAAUCCUUUACUUAUGAAAAUUUGAUCACCUAAAUUAAGAGUUUCGGAGUGCAAUUUUAGCACAUAAAUACAUUUAGCUGUAUUCUCCUAGAAGAGAAAAAAUAUAUAUAAAAAAUUUAUCUGCAAUUUGCCAAAGGGUCGGAUUAUGAUUGCUCAAGUUCUCAAUUUAAGCAAAAUCCAAAAUUCUGGAUGAAAAAUGAUUUGGGUGACAUUCUUACAAAUCAAAAUUUCCUUCACUGCAAUUUUCAUUUUCGUUAGAACGCCAACUCUUUGCGAAUAAAAAUCAAAUAACUUUAGGCCUAGUUCAAAGCCGCCUUGUUUUAUGGAUGGACCAAGUAAUUGGGCAGCAGAACAUUGCCUAAUAGGGCUCAAAUUUCUUCAAUUCAGCUACCCCCUGUGGAUCUUUCCUUGUAUAAUAUAGCAACAGGGCAAAUGGCAAAAAUAGUUAUUAAACUAUAUAACAUUUCUUGAUUUGGUUAUUAAAUUUUUAUUUGACUUUUCUUUUAAUAGUAUAAGUGAGAGGGUUCAAACCCGAAAUCUCUCACUUACACUUCCUCUUUCUGAACCAUCUAACUCAUCCCUCCCCCUAAUUGUUUAUUUAACUGAAAUGGAUAGUCAUCUAAUUAAAAUGUACUCCUACAUUUUUUGUAUACUAUUAGAGCAGAUGAUAAAAAUAAUUCUUAUUAUAUAGUGUUAGAAUAAAUGGCAAAAAUAGUCAUUAAACUGUUUAACAUUUCUUUAUUCUGAUUAUUAAACUUUUUACUUACGGUCAUUCAUCUAAUUAGAACGUACUCUUACCUUUUUAAGGCUAAUAAGUAUAAAUUUUUGUUAGAUAAGUGAUACUAAAAAGUUUGAUUUUUAUCAAUUGAGUGACAAAAAAAAUGUACUUUUUAUAUGUUGAGUGAUCACAUUAGCUAAAUAAAAAUUUUAGUAACUAAAACAUAAAGUUCAAUAAAUGGGUACUAAUUUAUAAAUUAUCAUAAAUGAGUUUAAAUAGUUUACACAAUUAUACCAAUCCAAAAAAAAGGGUAAGAUGGCAAAACCACCAAACCCAAAAUAAUAGAGAAAUCCAAAGUUGAAAGCUGUUUAUUGCCAAUUGUAAUAUUUUGUCAUAUUCCCUAAAGAAGGAUGAAAACCAUCUUCCCUGGCCAUCCAAUAGCAAACGUUACCAUAAAAGUCACCUCCACAGGCAAUAGCUAUGAAUCUUUUUUUUUUUUUUUUCCGCAACGAUAUAUUUGUAUAACUUACUCUAUCCUAAUCUAGGGGGAGAGGAGCCUAAGGAGGCUGUUGUACGGGCUAGUGGAUAUACAGAUCCAACUAGACUAAGAAAAUGCUAUGGCACAAGCCUUAGAUUUUUUUCGCUGCUGGUGAAAUUUGAAUCCUCACCAACAGCCCAUGGAAGGACUUAAGUCCCUCCUGGUGGCCACUGAGCCAUUGGCCUAGUGGUUAAUAGUUAUGAAUCUAUUGAAAACAUCAAAAAACAUGCAUGGUUUUCCCUCCCCACCAAAAGAAACAAUAGUAUUUUAGGCUUUCUCGAAGAUCCAUCCGAAGAUGCCAACUAUAUUCCUCUCCUACAUGAAGAAAACGUUCGCCAAGAUCAUCACCUUUGUUCGAUUGGCAAUGAGUCUUCAAAGGGAUAUAUCAUUGUUAGGAAGGCCACAGGCCACAUAAUAUAUAUCAUACGAUUCAAGAACAGCAAUUACAUGCAUUUUUUCAACAAGGGCAAGUGAUAUGGGGAGGAUUGAGUAAGGUUUUGUCCAUCUUGCCUGCCCUUUCUUGUUUCAAAUUAUGCUAUCUUCUAGCAUUUUUAAUUUGUAGGAGCUACUCAGCUGUAUAUAGACAUUAAUUGAAAGCAUGACUUACAGUUUUGAAAGGUUUACAGUUAGGUACACAAUUUAAUACAAACUUCAUAGCAAUAUAAUUUUGAAGCCUACAUGAAUUGGGAGCUAUUAAUGCCACAGCCCAUUUUUUUUAGUUCUACGACCAUUUUUGCAUAAAAUAUCAAAAUUACCCUUCUGAAGUCCAAAUGCAAUUUAGACUUAAGAGAGGCAAUUUUGUCAUUUUAACGCAAAAUGCCGUGGAAUUAAAAUACAUUUAGCUGUAUUCUCCCAGAAGAGGGGAAAAAAAA
rnacentral:lncRNA from 1 species